AGAACGAACGCUGGCGGCAGGCCUAACACAUGCAAGUCGAACGCGACCUUCGGGUCGAGUGGCGCACGGGUGAGUAACGCGUGGGAAUCUGCCCUGUGGUACGGAAUAACAUCGGGAAACUGGUGCUAAUACCGUAUAUCCCCUGAGGGGGGAAAGAUUUAUCGCCAUGGGGAGGAGCCCGCGUAGGAUUAGCUAGUUGGUGAGGUAACGGCUCACCAAGGCGACGAUCCUUAGCUGGUCUGAGAGGAUGAUCAGCCACACUGGGACUGAGAUACGGCCCAGACUCCUACGGGAGGCAGCAGUGGGGAAUAUUGGACAAUGGGGGAAACCCUGAUCCAGCCAUGCCGCGUGUGUGAUGAAGGCCUUCGGGUUGUAAAGCACUUUCGCACGUGACGAUGAUGACGGUAACGUGAGAAGAAGCCCGGCUAACUCGUGCCAGCAGCCGC
rnacentral:rRNA from 1 species